GAUCAAUUCCGAUCGCCGGCGCUGGAAACUUCAAGGAAAAGAGACCCAAAAACAGAGGUCCCUUUUCCGACCGAAAAUCGACAAUUUUUGUCGCCGGCAGCCGCACACAAUUGCACGGGGAGGAAGAAGAAGAAAGAGGAGAAGAAGAGGGGAAACUUACCUUAACCUCCGGUGACCUCGCCGGCGAGAAAACACGGCGAGAACCCGAACGAUAUCCGCGGCUUCGAUUUGAGAAAAAUGGAGAGAAAGAGAGAGGGAGGAGGUCGAUCUUCAGUCUAAAGGGGAAGGGGUCUUCUUAUAGAGAGUCCUAGGACUCCGAAGGGUCCUAGGAUUCCUGAUUCGCUUGGGUUUC
rnacentral:lncRNA from 1 species